rnacentral:rRNA from 1 species
GAUGAACGCUGGCGGCGUGCCUAAUACAUGCAAGUCGAGCGAACGGACGAGAAGCUUGCUUCUCUGAUGUUAGCGGCGGACGGGUGAGUAACACGUGGAUAACCUACCUAUAAGACUGGGAUAACUUCGGGAAACCGGAGCUAAUACCGGAUAAUAUUUUGAACCGCAUGGUUCAAAAGUGAAAGACGGUCUUGCUGUCACUUAUAGAUGGAUCCGCGCUGCAUUAGCUAGUUGGUAAGGUAACGGCUUACCAAGGCAACGAUGCAUAGCCGACCUGAGAGGGUGAUCGGCCACACUGGAACUGAGACACGGUCCAGACUCCUACGGGAGGCAGCAGUAGGGAAUCUUCCGCAAUGGGCGAAAGCCUGACGGAGCAACGCCGCGUGAGUGAUGAAGGUCUUCGGAUCGUAAAGCUCUGUUAUUAGGGAAGAACAUAUGUGUAAGUAACUGUGCACAUCUUGGCGGUACCUAAUCAGAAAGCCACGGCUAACUACGUG